rnacentral:rRNA from 1 species
UACGUAGGUGACGAGCGUUGUCCGGAAUUAUUGGGCGUAAAGGGAGCGCAGGCGGUUGGAAUAGUCUGAUGUGAAAGCCCACGGCUUAACCGUGGAAGGUCAUUGGAAACUGUCCAACUUGAAUGCAGAAGAGGUAAGUGGAAUUCCAUGUGUAGCGGUGAAAUGCGUAAAUAUAUGGAGGAACACCAGUGGCGAAGGCGACUUACUGGUCUGUAAUUGACGCUGAGGCUCGAAAGCGUGGGUAACGAACAGG